rnacentral:lncRNA from 1 species
GUCUAUCACAUGAAAACAAAUUGAAGUAUAUUGACCUUAUUUUUUUAUUACAUAUACACUAUAUACAUGGCACAGCUGGUUCGUUUACCUAACUAAAUCACAAAAUAAACAUCUGGAUUAAAUCACAAAAUAAACAUCUGGAUUUAGAUUUUCAUCAACUUAAAUUACAAGAUUUCAAAGAGAUAACAAAACUUUUGAAAAUCAUUAUCAUCUUUGGAUUUCUAACUCUUUCUUUCUUCGAAUUCUGUCAAAAUAAUUUCUAAAUUAUUUUUGAUUUUCGUGUUUGAUAUUUAGUAUUCAAUAGCCUCUGUUCUAGAAUAGUAUAGCUAAGCAUUGGUUCGUCCGACUGCUAUAUUCAUUUUGGAAGAAGCGUUAUAUCCCGUAAGAUGGAUGUCCAUUUGAUAUCGCCCAUCAUGAAUCAGAAAAUAGAUGCCAUCGCUUGCUGGUACCCAAAAGCAUACACCACCAUUACAAGCAUAUGUAAGAUUUAUAAAAUGAGAACAGAAAAGUAUAGCAAAUUUUGAGUUGUCU